AGUGAACGCUGGCGGUAGGCCUAACACAUGCAAGUCGAACGGCAGCACAGUAAGAGCUUGCUCUUACGGGUGGCGAGUGGCGGACGGGUGAGGAAUACAUCGGAAUCUACUUUUUCGUGGGGGUUAACGUAGGGAAACUUACUCUAAUACCGCAUACGACCUACGGGUGAAAGCAGUGGAUCUUCUCACCUUGCGCGAUUGGAUGCGCCGAUGCGGGAUUAGUUAGUUGGCGGGGUGAAGACCCACCUAGGCGACGAUACGUAGCCGGUCAGAGAGGAUGGUCGGCGGCAUUGGAGGUGGACCACCGACAAGGCGACUACGAGAGGCAGCAGAGGGCUAUAGUAGACAGUGGGGGCGAGCCUGAUCCAGCCGUACCGCGUGGGUGGAGAAGACCUUCGGGUUGUAAAGACCUUUUGUUGGGAAAGAAAAGCUGCAGGUUAAUACCAAGCUGUUCUGACGGUACCGAAUGAAUAAGCACCGGCUAACUUCGUG
rnacentral:rRNA from 1 species